rnacentral:rRNA from 1 species
AAUAGAUACCGGGUAGUCCACGCCGUAAACGAUGAGUGCUAGGUGUUGGGGAUUUCCCUCCUCAGUGCCGAAGUUAACACAUUAAGCACUCCGCCUGGGGAGUACGGCCGCAAGGCUGAAACUCAAAGGAAUUGACGGGGGCCCGCACAAGCGGUGGAGCAUGUGGUUUAAUUCGAAGCAACGCGAAGAACCUUACCAGGGCUUGACAUCCCGCUGACCAGCGUAGAGAUACGCUUUCCCUUCGGGGCAGCGGUGACAGGUGGUGCAUGGUUGUCGUCAGCUCGUGUCGUGAGAUGUUGGGUUCAGUCCCGCAACGAGCGCAACCCUUAUCUUUAGUUGCCAGCAUUCAGUUGGGCACUCUAGAGAGACAGCCGGUGAAAGCCGGAGGAAGGUGGGGAUGACGUCAAAUCAUCAUGCCCCUUAUGUCCUGGGCUACACACGUGCUACAAUGGCUGGUACAAUGGGUCGCUAUCCCGCGAGGGGCGCUAAUCCCAUAAAACCAGUCUCAGUUCGGAUCGCAGG